UUCCGGGUUCUUCUUCCCACCCCGCUCCCCGCAUGCGCCAAAUGACUACUAAUACGGAAUGCGGAAGUGACGGACUAUAAAUUGUUCCCUCUGCUUAUACCUGGGCUCAGACCUCUGGAGAGUGAUCUCCUCUGACCUGCCAGUGUGAAAUAAUCUUGCCUUCCAAGAUCUCCGAGUGCCGCUUGGCUCUUCUGCCUGGUGAUCCAGACCAGGUUCCGUAACAUUUGGUUUCCUGACCGGGAAACCAUGCUGGCCCAUUAUUGCCACCGGUUUGGGAAAACGGCGAGGCGGUGACGGAACGAGGAAUCGCAACGGAGAAGGCGCGCCCUGCCUGAAUUUCGGCAGUCUCCCUCUCGGUGGCCUCAGGCCGGCCCCAGUCUGUCUGCCGUUCCCACUGGACUGGAGGAGACUUGGCCGUGGAGCAUCUGGACCCGACGUCGGAUACAGUACCACAUGUACCGUCCUGGGGCAGCACAGUCGUGGGGCAACAAAGGCACAAAAUGGGGCCUGUAGAGGAUCCAAUGGUUGGCCAAGUGGCAAAGGAUUCAACUCUCUGUGAGGAUCUUAGGGGCACAGGCUCAGUGACGGCAAGACGGCAGAUAAUUUCACAGGUUACCUCUGACCAGAGAGACGCAAGACAAACGAUGUCCAGGGAUACCUGAGACUAAGUGGCUACCCUGGAGGUCAUUGUUAGGAGGCCCAGGUAUAGUUAGAUGUGGUUAAUUGUUUGCAAGAUAUUGACCAGAUUCAUCAGUAAUAAAAAUAUUUAUGGUCCCUACCUUUGUUCUCUU
rnacentral:lncRNA from 1 species